rnacentral:rRNA from 1 species
UACGGGGGGGGCAAGCGUUGUUCGGAAUUACUGGGCGUAAAGCGUACGUAGGCGGUUACUCAAGUCAGAGGUGAAAGCCCGGGGCUCAACCCCGGAACUGCCUUUGAAAACUAGGUAGCUAGAAUCUUGGAGAGGUCAGUGGAAUUCCGAGUGUAGAGGUGAAAUUCGUAGAUAUUCGGAAGAAACACCAGUGGCGAAGGCGACUGACUGGACAAGUAUUGACGCUGAGGUACGGAAGCGUGGGGAGCAAACAGGG